rnacentral:snRNA from 1 species
GGAUGUGAGGGCAACCUUGCUGCAACAUCUAUCACCCCACUGAUCGCCAGAGUUGAUUCGGCUGAUCUGGCUGGCUAGGUGUUCCCUUCCCCCCUCAUCGCUCCAUGUGUGUCCCUCUUGAAUCUGUGCACUGAGUCGGAGAGGAUGACCACUCCUGAUAGAGGAGGACCAUUUCCUCGGUCAGGGUUAUGUGGGUAGCUGCACUCCCCUGCUAGAACCUCCAAUCAAGUUCUCAAGAGUAAACCCUAAUGUAAACUACAGACUUUGAGUGAUCAUGUUGUGCCAAAGUUGGUUCAUCUGCUGUAACAAAUAUCCCCUACAAAUAUCCCAAAUAUCCCCUACACCAGUAGGGGAUGUUGAU